rnacentral:rRNA from 1 species
UUAAAUUGAAGAGUUUGAUCAUGGCUCAGAUUGAACGCUGGCGGCAGGCCUAACACAUGCAAGUCGAACGGUAACAGGAAGCAGCUUGCUGCUUCGCUGACGAGUGGCGGACGGGUGAGUAAUGUCUGGGAAACUGCCUGAUGGAGGGGGAUAACUACUGGAAACGGUAGCUAAUACCGCAUAACGUCGCAAGACCAAAGAGGGGGACCUUCGGGCCUCUUGCCAUCGGAUGUGCCCAGAUGGG